GUCCCGAUGGCACAGUGGUUAGGGCCUUGGACUGCUAUGCCGCAGGUCCCGGGUUCGAUGCCCGGUUGGGGCA
rnacentral:tRNA from 1 species